rnacentral:lncRNA from 1 species
GGACCAAUAGUGCUUGAUUCCCCUUUGCAUAACGAAUCGACCAUAUCAUGCUGUUAACUUGGACAAACCUUUUGAACCUCUCUGAACAUCGUGUGGGCUGCUGACUUCCUCUGAAAGCAGAAGGUAAGGUUGAAAACUUUCCCAACCAUAUUGGCCCUCCAAAUAUCAAGUCUGGAGCUUUAAAGUUUUCUUCAAGUCGAGAGUGAUCUGAAACAUAAAUAGCAUUUACUUGUGAUAAAGUGGGAGAGUGAGAGUUUGGAUAUAUAUAUAUAUAAGUAAGGUUUGACAAAAA